GAAACUCCUCCUUCCCCUCCUCUCUUUUAGGUUACUGGGUCACCUCAAUAGCAUACCGAUACCCUACAAAACGAAUAUAGCAUCGGAGUGUUAAAAAAAAUACCAUUGGAAAUUAAAAUAAUCACAUAAACACACUGAAGAACUCCUAGAGCGAAUCGAAUCACAUAUUAAUGCAAGAAGACGGGGAAUAUAUGUAUGAUUCGUGCAUUUUUAAUGUUGCGUUAUGUCUCUAGGAAUGUCUUGGAUCGAUGGAUCGUUCAUAGUAUUCUCCCUAGAACAUUAAGUAUUAAUUUGUUAGUGCAAUUCUUAAUACCAUCUUUAGUAUUCUCCCUAGAAU
rnacentral:lncRNA from 1 species